CUGUUGUCUGGUUCAAGG
rnacentral:miRNA from 1 species